AUUGAACGCUGGCGGCAGGCUUAACACAUGCAAGUCGAACGAGUGGCGGACGGGUGAGUAAUGCUUGGGAAUCUAGCUUAUGGAGGGGGAUAACUACGGGAAACUGUAGCUAAUACCGCGUACCAUCGGUUGAGCCCAAGUGGGCGUAGGUAGUUGGUGAGGUAAAGGCUCACCAAGCCGACGAUGUCUAGCUGGUCUGAGAGGAUGACCAGCCACACUGGGACUGAGACAAGGCCCAGACUCCUACGGGAGGCAGCAGUGGGGAAGAUUGCGCAAUGGGGGCAACCUGACGCAGCCAUGCCGCGUGAAUGAAGAAGGCCUUCGGGUUGUAAAGUUCUUUCGGUAGCGAGGCGUUAACUACAGAGAAAGCACCGGCUAACUCCGUGCCAGCAGCCGCGGUAAUAC
rnacentral:rRNA from 1 species